ACAGCCACAUCCUGUUGAAAUACUGGUUCCUGUAUAAUCACUGAAGUUAAGCAAUAUUGAGCGUGGUUAGUACCUUGAUGGGUGCCUGCUUGGGAAUACUAAGU